AUGAUAUAUUUCACUUAUAUAUAUUUUUUCAAUUUUUUUAUGCCUCGAAAUUAAAAAAAAAAAAUCCAAAAUUUUUUAUGGUUUCUCUUUGAGCAGAGAAGCUAAUCCAGUCACCAUCUUAGCUCCUCUAUCUAUACUCUUCGGUUUGACGGCCGGCGGCUGCCACGUCGCCGAAUCCACUCUUUCUUUCUCAUCGUCGCCGGAAAUUUUCGUCGGCGGCGAUGAUGGAUCAGUGUCCAGCGCUGCCGUUUUCUCACCAAAGAUCAGCUCGAGUUCUCCGCAAGCGUCACUACUCUCCGUCGCAACCAAACACUCGUCUUUCUGGCUUUCGGGUUUGGUGUUUGAAGUGGCGUCUUUUAGCCUGGUGAAAGGAGAGAACCAUUUAGCACGCAUGUACUCUGCUGUUCUCCAAGGAGGAAAGUGCAUGCCUUUCUUCUUCAAACUCUGCUUAGCCGCCUCCGACACGAUUGAUACAAUCUGACCCAGCCGAUCAGAUUUCCCGACGAAGAUGGACGGUAGUGAUUGCAGGAUUGCUUUGUAGGCACCGGUCGAUCGAGCUAUUUCGAACUCCGAUCUGAAGUCAAUAUCGAUCAAAAGUCUUUCUCCUCCUAUAUUCACAUCUACAUACUCAUAUUCACCGGCAGGGUGAGAGGGACAUUUAUCCCAUUUCGAUUUGCAAAUGGAGGAAUCGUAGCCGAGAGAUGAUAAUCCAUCGGCUACGAUCUUUCUCAAAUCGUCCUUUUGCUUGUGAUUCUUGUUCUUCUCGACGAUCAUCGCAGCAUCAGCUAAGAGGUUUCUUUCGUGAACACUGGCACAGGGAAUCAAACUCUGGUUCUAACACGCAGACAUACACAUUUCUUUAGCCAUUUGACCUUCAAGGAGUCGUAUAGCUUCAAAAUACAAAGGGCAAAUGCUCUUAAAUUGUAACUUGGAAGAGCUUAAGGGCUAUUUACCUUAAGAAUAUCAGAGGCAUCGCCAGACGAUCCAUUGCUAAUCGAUUCGCCAAAACCACCACCGCCAAAUACAUCAAAUUCAUCAUCGGAGCUGUCGUUAGUGUUCCCAUUAAAGCAAUUACAUCGGUGACGGCCCCGAAACGGCUUCUCGUUGCUCUCCUCGAUGUAAUUCUGCACCAUUUUAGCCAAACAUACUGAGCUCGGCUCAAACUCGGUCCCUGCACCUCCUCCGUCCUUGGUCCCAUACUGUGCUUCACCAACGCUUGGUUUUUCCACCGAGGAAAUUCUCAACACGCUGGGGAACUGCCGGUCAAACAGUCUCUUUAGACGCGAUUUCAACACCGGCUUCACCGGCUCGGCCCGCGAGGGAACCGUCGUCUGACAGUCUAUAUCUAUGGGUUGGAUCUUCAUAGGAAAAGGCAUAACAGAUAUGAAGAUGAUAGAAACAGAGAAGACCCGAGGCUAAGGCUGAAGGUUAGAAGUUAAAAUGGAUUGACUGCUCAGGUUGAAGCUCUUCGUGUCAGUUCUGCUCCAUAUUCAGAGCCCUCUCUAAUUACUUGGGUUGCACAGACUCACAAACACAGUGACCAAUCAAUGACUCCUUCUGGUCCUGAUUCUUCCGGUACAAUUUACAAAACCCAUGAACCAG
rnacentral:misc_RNA from 1 species